rnacentral:rRNA from 1 species
AACGAACGCUGGCGGCGUGCCUAACACAUGCAAGUCGAACGGAAUUUGAGAGCUUGCUCUUAAAUUUAGUGGCGCACGGGUGAGUAACGCGUAGAUAAUCUGCCUGAUGAUCUGGGAUAACAGUUCGAAAGGACUGCUAAUACCGGAUAAGCCCACGGGUUCUUUGGAAUCUGCGGGAAAAGGGGGGGACCUUUUGGCCUUCUGUCAUCAGAUGAGUCUGCGUACCAUUAGCUAGUUGGUAGGGUAAAGGCCUACCAAGGCUACGAUGGUUAGCUGGUCUGAGAGGAUGAUCAGCCACACGGGAACUGAGACACGGUCCAGACUCCUACGGGAGGCAGCAGUGGGGAAUUUUGCGCAAUGGGCGAAAGCCUGACGCAGCAACGCCGCGUGAGUGAUGAAGGCUUUCGGGUCGUAAAGCUCUGUCAGGGGGAAAGAAAUGUAUUGUGGCUAAUAUCCGCGAUACUUGACGGUACCCCCAAAGGAAGCACCGGCUAACUCCGUGCCAGCCGCCGCAGUAA